UACAGAGGGUGCAAGCGUUAAUCGGAAUUACUGGGCGUAAAGCGCACGUAGGCGGUUGGUUAAGUUGGAUGUGAAAGCCCCGGGCUCAACCUGGGAAUUGCAUUCAAAACUGGGGAACUAGAGUGUGUGAGAGGGGGGUAGAAUUCCAAGUGUAGCGGUGAAAUGCGUAGAGAUUUGGAGGAAUACCAGUGGCGAAGGCGGCCCCCUGGCACAACACUGACGCUCAGGUGCGAAAGCGUGGGGAGCAAACAGG
rnacentral:rRNA from 1 species